CUGGUUGUGAUGGAUGUGAGUGGAGUGAUUGUGAGGUUAUGUUAUGAUUGGAAUGGUGUGGUUAGGUGCCGAAGUGCUUCGUAUCUUUGUUUAUAAGUUCAAAGAAUAUUAUUUAUCAUGGAUACUCAAGACAUCCUUUCCUUUAUGGACUUAUUAGAUUUAGAUGAAGACCUAAUAGACACCCGGCUGAAAUCUAUAAUGGUAAGAGACACAUAUACAAAUAAACACUUGAAAAAUGUGAUCCAGUUGUUACAAUAUAAACAUUUGAUAAACCAACAAGAGGGUACCGAAUGUGAGAAUGAAGACGAGUGCACUUUUCUCGUAAAACUCAUAAAUCAAUUGAACCACGAUAACGAGGUAAAUAUUUAUAAAAUAACAACUCUAGUAUUGGGCCUCAAUGGCACCUCAAUAUUGAAUAAAUCUGAACAUUUGCUGCAACAAAUACUAUCAGAUAUUAAUAUGCCAUCAGAGAAUACGCCUUACGAAAACUCCUUACUGUUAACCUUAAAAUUAUGUGACACAAUACUAGAUGCUGUGAUCAAAAACAGUGAAAAGCUGACUUUGCCAUUUUUAGAUAUGCCUGUAUCAAGUAUUUUACUCAGUAAAAAUAAUAGAUUGAAGCUUCACUUUUUGACAAACACGGUGCCAAAUUUAUUUCAUGGAGUGCAAGGUUAUAAUAUCCUUGAUAUUAUUUGGAACUUUAUCAAACAAAAUUCUAAUGAGAACAUUGAGAUAGCAUUAAAAAUAUUUAGUUUCCUCUCGCAGUAUUACAUACCAGUUGCGGAUAAACACGGAAAAGUUUUAUACCAAUCUGAAGUGGUCUACCAAGUGGAGUUUUGGAAGAUAAUUUUGUCUGGUAUUUGUAGUAAUGAUUUAACCAAGAAAAAGCUAUCAGUAUAUUUGAGCAAAAGAGCUAUAGACUGUUUAACAACUGGCAACAGAGAUGUCAGUCUCCACACAGAGGGAAUCAAAAUAUUUUCUUGGAAUUGCAAACAUGGGACAAUAUUAAAAAAUGAAUGGGAUAACUUUUUUAUACUAAUAGAUAGUUUGGAGGAGAAACAGAGUAACAUUGUUUUGCCGUCUCUACAUUUAUUUGAAAAGAUUGGUAAUCUUGAAAAAUGCUGGUUAAAUUGCCCGUUUAACCUUGGAUUAAGCCACGAUAACACACAAGUAAGGCUUAAGACUGUAAUGUACAAACUUGACACAACAUUAAAGUCACUGAAUGAAGCAGUUGCAUUGCUGGAAGCCAUUAAUGAUAAUAAUAUAUUUGAUGAUGUCACAGGAUUUGAAGAGUUGAAAAUUAAGAUGAGAAAAUUCUUCUCAAACCAACAAGCAUUAGAAUAUGUUUUAAAAUCUUUGACUUUGGUAAAGUGGUCACCUGUGCCAUUAUUCCAUGUGAGUGAAGUGUUGGGAGAUCUAGAUCUGAAAGGUGUUCAAUUUGAUACUCAACUUAUAAAUGAUAUAUUAAAGAUCCCAUGCAAUAAUGUACUUUUAAGAAAAGCUUAUCAUAUAAAUUUAUUUUAUUUUAUAGAGAACUGUUGUAAUACUGUUAAUUGGAAAGACUUGUUAAGUAUAUUGCCACAAUUCCUAGUCAAAAUACCUAAACAAAAACUUUACUCAAUUAUAAACGGAAGUCUGGACGAUGAAAACGAACAAUUGAGAUUUUUAAAGUCAUUGACUGAGUUUAACAAUAAUUACGAUAAUUUCGAAAUGUUAUUUUUACAUCUAGAAAAGCAGUCAAAGCAUAUGGCGAAUUUCAUUGAUAUAAUAAAAGAAAAAGUUGGAAAAGUACAAGAUACAGUAAAUAGACAAUAUUCAGAUAAGAAAGAAUGCUUUUCAGAUGCCUUAUUCAUCGCAUUGUUGUAUUCAAAAACAAAAACAUUAGAGUCUGCUAACAUGGUAAUGUUUCAUAAGACUUUGGGUCAAGAUAUGAAAGUAAUUUUGCAAUAUCUCUUGUCUUUGAUAUCUAGUGAUGUUACAUUUGACUUAGAGGAAAUAUUUUUAAUAUCAAAAGCAAUAGAAACAAUCGAUUGUAAUGAUUUGAUGGAGCUUCUACUUCAGUUCUACAAGAUAUCUUUGUUAUUAUUUACUGACGAAAGAUCAAAUUUGGAUAAAAUACUCCUUGGACUGUGUAAUAUCAGUAGUUUAAGGAAAAAUAUGAUUCUUGUAACACAUUACAAGCACGAAAUGAUUAGUCUGCAACGCUUGUUCAAAAUCAGUUUUGUAAAUAAACAAAACAGUAGACUUGUAAAUGCAUUGUAUGAGAAACUUUGCGAAAGUACAUUUGAUAUUUUGAAUGACGAUCCGAAACAUGUCAACGGUGAAGAUGUUUUAGAAUUUGUUGAGAGAGUAAUAGAAUGUGGUGGCUAUGGAUGUUCGUAUUGGAUUCUGAAAAUUGUGAAUGAAAUGUUACCUGUACUUUGUAAUGAUAAUAAAUUUGAUUUACCACAGUUUGUACACAGAAUGUGGAAGGAAAUAGAAGAAUUGAAGUCUAAUCAACAGUAUGGGCCAUGUAUGGAAGAAUUUGUAAAUUUAAUAAUGCAGCCAUGUCUGAUAGAUCAGCCGCUGCACAACAAUACUAUAACAUUAUACUGUAGCAAAAUUAUUGAAAAUGCUGCAGUUAGAAACACACAAUUAUAUUAUUUAGUUAGAAAACUUAUGAAUUUAGAAAUAAAUACGGAUCGAGGUCAUUUAGUGUACAUUUUAUGUGAGAUUCUAAUGUAUUCACCAGUGCCCAGAAAAGAUCAAAGGAUUACCGACAAUUUGACGAUUAACAUUCUACAGGAUCCCAAAUAUGAAGCAGCAAGCAAAUGUACUUCAACACAUUUCAACUUCCAAAUCCAGUACUCUGCCAUAUCUACAUUAUCACGGAUAAAACAUGCAGAAAUACACAAGACAAUCACAUCACACAUAACUAAUAAAAUCGACUUCAUUUUUAAAAACAAGCAGAGAUACCAUGGUAACUCUCAGCCUCAUAGAACACUGUUGAUUGGUCUACAGCAUUUGCUGUACACAGUUUCGUUACAGUGUGAUUUAGACUGGGAAUCUCUAAAUGACUGGGCUGUGAAGUUAUUAGCAAAGUUGCCACAUCAACCCAGCGUGAGGAUAUGUUUGGAGUGGUUUGUUGCAUUAUUUUGUUAUAGAAAGGGAGUAGAAAUCAACCAAAAAUUCGUUGAGCAUUUGGAUGCAAAGAAAGUUCCCAUAACGUCCCGAUUUAUUAUUAUUUAUUACAUCAUGAAGCGAAAAUGUAAAACCAACUUCACAGAACGAGAGUACGAAUUUGUUUUAAAUCACCUUCUGUGUAAUACUAUGGGACCAAUGUACAACGUAAGACUUUACGCGCAAUGUAUAUGUAAACAAUUAUAUUUGUUCAAAGAUAGCUCUGAGCUUAAUUAUAUGAUGAAUAUAGUGAAACUAAAUUGUGCUAAAGACAAAAAUUGUACAAAAUUGGAACAGGAUUUCUUUAUAUCAAAUUUUGAUAUAGAAUUGGAAUUAAAACCAAGUUUUAUUUACCAUUUUAUACCAAAUUACACGGAAAUAAACAAUGACAAAGUUUAUAUGGAAUUGAUUAGACAUGAUUUGAAAAUCAAAAGCUCAACUAAUGGUGGGCAUUUUACUGAUGAGGAGAUAUUCAAAUUUGAUUAUACAAAGAACAAAGGGAAAGUGGUCGAAGCAGUUGAUGGAACCGGCUCGAUCCAGAAGAAGUAUGUACCUUGGAAACGCAUGAGCGAUGUUGACGUCUGUGCUAUUGAUAAAACGAAAGAAACAUCGAGUUGGUUGAUAGUAGUGGCGUCGCUGGUAGACAAGCUUCCCAACCUGGGCGGGCUCGCGCGCACCGCGGAGGUGUUCGGGCUCCGCUCGUAUGUCGUCGACAGUCUCCGCCAUUUGCAGGACCCGCAGUUCCAGGCUCUCAGCGUGUCGGCCGAGCGCUGGGUGAACGUUUCCGAGGUGCGCCCUGGAGCGCCGCUCAAGCAGUACAUCCAGGAGAAAAAGCUGGAAGGAUACUCCAUUGUGGCCGCUGAGCAGACUUCCACCAGCUGUCUUUUGAACCAAUUCAGAUUUCCCAAGAAAACUGUGCUAUUAUUAGGGUAAAACAUGGACCAAAUAAAUAAAAAAACAUACUGUGUGUCAACUUGUACAAGCUAUAAAGUCACACAUACGUAAUGUCGGAAAAGGGCGGAGACACGAGAAAGAGGGUGUUCCCUGCGAUUUGCUGCCUCUAAUGGACCACUGUGUGGAGAUCCCUCAACAAGGUGUCGUUAGAUCGCUCAAUGUGCACGUCACCGCCGCCAUAUUUGUUUGGGAGUACUCCAGGCAACACAUGCUUCAAUAAGUUUAACUUUUAAUGUGUCAUUGUUUGGUUGCAGCAGGGCAUUGCACUGCACUAGUUUGGUUAUUAUGUUACAGUACAGAUGUCGAUUUAAAUUGUUCAAAAAUUUCUAUGAUAAACUUGUGAGUAAACAAUCUGAUG